rnacentral:misc_RNA from 1 species
UUUCCGUAGGUGAACCUGCGGAAGGAUCAUUAUUGUAUAACCGAGGUGCGAGGGCUGUCGCUGACCCGAAAGGUCGUGCACGCUCGAGUGCCCUCACACACAUCCAUCUCACCCCUAUGUGCACCACCGCGUGGGUCCCCCUUUGGCUUGUUCGGAGGGGGGCUUACGUUUUCACACAUACUUUGUAUGCAGUGUAGAAUGUAUUUUUUGUUUUUGCGAUCACGCAAUCAAUACAACUUUCAACAACGGAUCUCUUGGCUCUC